rnacentral:rRNA from 3 species
GGACUACCGGGGUAUCUAAUCCCGUUUGCUCCCCUGGCUUUCGCGCAUCAGCGUCAGUGAAGGUCCAGCGUGCCGCUUUCGCCACCGGAGUUCCUGAUGAUAUCAACACAUUUCACCGCUCCACCAUCAGUUCCGCACGCCCCUACCUUACUCGAGACUGUCAGUAUCAAAGGCAGUUCCCCAGUUGAGCUGAGGGAUUUCACCCCUGACUUGAUAGUCCGCCUACGCGCCCUUUAAGCCCAGUGAUUCCGAACAACGUUUGCACGGUUCGUCUUACCGCGGCUGCUGGCAC